rnacentral:lncRNA from 1 species
CUACCUCUACCAGCCUCAUCCUGACAGAUGGGUUCUCUGUGAGCUUUGUGCCAAUCACCAGCAGGGUGUCCAACAGCUGAGCAAGGACUUGGUGAGACUUCUCAUUCUGAAGUGUGUUAAUGGCAUCAUCCAUAAUGCAGUCUGGGGAAAAUCCCGCAGUCUUUGAUAACAAACCCAGCAAGGAAGCAAUCUUCAAUCUUACAGAAGCAUCAUUCUCCUUAUAAUAAUGCUCCAGAAGGAUUCGGACCACCCCUUCCACGCUCUCCACUUCCACAGGCUUCCUGGCAAACUGCAGCAGGUACUGCAAGGCAUCCGCAGGCGAGGUGGCUUUACACAGGUCAACGUGGAGUGCUGCCGACUUGCUGGGCUUGGUCAGCCGCAGUUUCUUAGCGGACAGGUCCUCAUGCUGCUGCUGGACCACCUUGGUGAACUCCUCAUACACCCGCUUCUUCAGGUGCGCCG